GAUGAACGCUGGCGGCGUGCCUAAUACAUGCAAGUCGAGCGAACGGACGAGAAGCUUGCUUCUCUGAUGUUAGCGGCGGACGGGUGAGUAACACGUGGAUAACCUACCUAUAAGACUGGGAUAACUUCGGGAAACCGGAGCUAAUACCGGAUGAUAUUUUGAACCGCAUGGUUCAAAAGUGAAAGACGGUCUUGCUGUCACUUAUAGAUGGAUCCGCGCUGCAUUAGCUAGUUGGUAAGGUAACGGCUUACCAAGGCAACGAUGCAUAGCCGACCUGAGAGGGUGAUCGGCCACAUGGGAAGGGAGACAGGGUCCAGACUCCUGCGGGAGGCAGCAGUAGGGAAUCUUCCGCAAUGGGCGAGAGCCUGACGGAGCAACGCCGCGUGAGUGAUGAAGGUCUUCGGAUCGUAAAACUCUGUUAUUAGGGAAGAACAUAUGUGUAAGUAACUGUGCACAUCUUGACGGUACCUAAUCAGAAAGCCACGGCUAACUACGUG
rnacentral:rRNA from 1 species